CGAAAGCCUGACGGAGCAACGCCGCGUGUGGGAAGAAGGCUCUUGGGCUGUCAACCACUUUUCUCAGGGAAGAAGACCUGACGGUACCUGAGGAAUCAGCCUCGGCUAACUCCGUGCCAGCAGCCGCGGUAAUACGGAGGAGGCAAGCGUUAUCCGGAAUUAUUGGGCGUAAAGCGUCCGCAGGGGGCUCAUCAAGUCUGCUGUCAAAGGUCGGAGCUCAACUCCGGUUCGGCAGUGGAAACUGGUGGGCUAGAGGGCGACAGGGGUAGAGGGAAUUCCCAGUGUAGCGGUGAAAUGCGUAGAGAUUGGGAAGAACACCGGUGGCGAAAGCGCUCUACUGGGUCGCACCUGACCCUCAGGGACGAAAGCUAAGGUAGCG
rnacentral:rRNA from 1 species